UGCUAAGUGGAAAACCAUGUGGAAAGGCACAGACAGCCAGGAGGUUGGCUUAGAAGCAGCCAUCCUUUAAAGAAAGCGUAAUAGCUCACUGGUCGAGUCGGUCUGCGGGGAAGAUUUAACGGGGCUAAGCAUGGAACCGAAGCUUGGGGUGCAUACUUCGGUAUGCGCGGUAGAGGAGCGUUCCGUAAGCCUGCGAAGGUGGAUUGAGAAGUCUGCUGGAGGUAUCGGAAGUGCGAAUGCUGACAUGAGUAACGAUAAUGCGGGUGAAAAGCCCGCACGCCGAAAGCCCAAGGUUUCCUUGCGCAACGUUAAUCGGCGCAGGGUGAGUCGGCCCCUAAGGCGAGGCAGAAAUGCGUAGUCGAUGGGAAGCUGGUUAAUAUUCCAGCACCUCGCGCAAGUGCGAUGGAGGGACGGAGAAGGUUAGGCAGGCCGGGCGUUGGUUGUCCCGGUGAGAGAGUUGAGGCGGUCCCCUUAGGCAAAUCCGGGGGGGCAACGUUGAGACUAAGGACGAGCCCACUAGGGCGAAGCUGCUGAUAUCACGCUUCCAGGAAAAGCUCCUAAGCUUCAGCUUGCGCAGACCGUACCGUAAACCGACACAGGUGGGUAGGAUGAGAAUUCUCAGGCGCUUGAGAGAACUCGGGUGAAGGAACUAGGCAAAAUGGCACCGUAACUUCGGGAGAAGGUGCGCCCCUUUUGGUUAAUAGCUGAGGGGGGCCUCAGAAACCAGGCCGCUGCGACUGUUUAUCAAAAACACAGCACUCUGCAAACACGAAAGUGGACGUAUAGGGUGUGACGCCUGCCCGGUGCCGGAAGGUUAAGUGAUGGGGUGCAAGCUCUUGAUCGAAGCCCCGGUAAACGGCGGCCGUAACUAUAACGGUCCUAAGGUAGCGAAAUUCCUUGUCGGGUAAGUUCCGACCUGCACGAAUGGCGUAACGAUGGCGGCGCUGUCUCCACCCGAGACUCAGUGAAAUUGAAAUCGCUGUGAAGAUGCAGCGUUCCCGUGGCAAGACGGAAAGACCCCGUGAACCUUUACUAUAGCUUUACACUGAACGUUGAGUUCGUCUGUGUAGGAUAGGUGGGAGGCUGUGAAACUGUGGCGCUAGCUGCAGUGGAGCCAUCCUUGAAAUACCACCCUGUCGUGCUUGACGUUCUAACCUGGGUCCGUGAUCCGGAUCGGGGACCGUGUAUGGUGGGUAGUUUGACUGGGGCGGUCUCCUCCCAAAGAGUAACGGAGGAGCUCGAAGGUACGCUCAGCGCGGUCGGACAUCGCGCACUGUGUGCAAAGGCAUAAGCGUGCUUGACUGCAAGAUCGACGGAUCAAGCAGGUACGAAAGUAGGACUUAGUGAUCCGGUGGUUCUGAAUGGAAGGGCCAUCGCUCAACGGAUAAAAGGUACU
rnacentral:rRNA from 1 species